UAGCAAUCCCACUCCUCCAAGGUCACUCAUUUCUUCUCCAAUCUAACCUUGGUGUAGAGACUUAGAGGUUCUCUAUUUUGAGAACUUGGAGAAACCUUUUUCAUCCAUCCAAAUCCAUAGAUUUAAGAUGCAAGGAAUGAAGGCCCUCUCUUUGGGUGAUUAGCCUUUGCUUAUGCAAAGAGGAAUCUACAAAGGUAUAAAUUUCUCUCAACUCACUUUGAUUUUGAGUUGAGUCUUGGUUCACCAAUCUACUAGGCUUUUAAUGUUUUGUUUUUAAGUGCAUGCAAGCAUGAUUCCGCCUUUUAAUUGUUAAUAGCAUGCUAUAGAUGGUGCUUAAAUGAACAUGUUUUUAAAAAUAUUUCCUUCAAGUGGUAUCAGAGCCUAGGUCUAGUAGUUGGUGAAUCCUUUUGGGUUUUGUAGUUCAUAGUUUGUGAUUUAAAAGUUGUAAUAUGUUACAAGCUUUAUUCUUGUUUCUUUGAAUGUAAAUUUUGUUGGAAAAUUUGCCAUCUCAAAUGUUGUAGAUGUAGUUCAUAUGAGCAUGAAUAUUGGAGCUAAAAUUUGGUGCCAUGUUUUUGGGAAUUUUCGGCCAAAUCCAAAGGGUGGAUUUUUGGGUUCUUGUUUGACUUGUUGAAAGUGUUUUCAAGUGACUUUUGGAACCCCUAUGUACCCUUGUUUGGUUAUAUGUUAUUUCCCUAAAGUUUGAAUGGUUUUUGGAGUAAAAAUGUUCAUGGAAAUGUUUUGGGUUUUUCAUGAAUGUUCUUCAUUGUUCUUGACAUUUUUGCCAAGAACAAAAAGUUUUGUGUUUUGAUUCAAAGUUUUGAUUUAUUUCAUAAAGUUUAUGUUUUAUGUUUUUCAAAUGUUUAAAUGUAUUAGAUAUUUGUUUAGAAAGGUGGUAGAAUUAUUGGUGGGUGUGUAAGGAUUAAUUCCCUUUCACACACACCACUUGCACCACUUGCAUGCUUUAUGUCAAAACUCACAAAUCAACACACACAUCACUCCUUUCCCUCUCCAAAACCGGCCACUCCCUCAAUGGGAGUACUUUUGGGGCUUUUAUGCAAUUACAUAAAGUUUUGAUACU
rnacentral:lncRNA from 1 species